rnacentral:rRNA from 1 species
CCUACGGGUGACAGCAGUGGGGAAUAUUGCACAAUGGGGGCAACCCUGAUGCAGCAACGCAGCGUGAAGGAAGACUGUUUUCGGAUUGUAAACUUCCGUUCUUAGUGAAGUAUAGUGCCGUUAGCAUAGUACCAAGCCACGGCUAACUACGUGCCAGCAGCCGCGGUAAUACGGAGGUGGCAAGCGUUGUCCGGAAUUACUGGGUGUAAAGGGAGCGCAGGCGGGAAGCCAAGUCAGCUGUGAAAACUACGGGCUUAACUUGUAGACUGCAGUUGAAACUGGUUUUCUUGAGUGAAGUAGAGGUUGGCGGAAUUCCGGGUGUAGCGGUGAAAUGCGUAGAUAUUCGGAGGAACACCGGUGGCGAAGGCGGCCAACUGGGCUGUAACUGACGCUGAUGCUCGAAAGUGUGGGGAGCAAACAGGAUUAGAUACCCUUGUAGUC